rnacentral:rRNA from 1 species
AACGAACGCUGGCGGCAUGCCUAACACAUGCAAGUCGAACGAGACCUUCGGGUCUAGUGGCGCACGGGUGCGUAACGCGUGGGAACCUGCCCUUAGGUUCGGAGUAACUCCCCGAAAGGGGUGCUAAUACCGGAUAAUGUCUUCGGACCAAAGAUUUAUCGCCUUUGGAUGGGCCCGCGUUGGAUUAGCUAGUUGGUAGGGUAAAAGCCUACCAAGGCGACGAUCCAUAGCUGGUCUGAGAGGAUGAUCAGCCACACUGGGACUGGGACACGGCCCAGACUCCUACGGGAGGCAGCAGUGGGGAAUAUUGGACAAUGGGCGAAAGCCUGAUCCAGCAAUGCCGCGUGAGUGAUGAAGGCCUUAGGGUUGUAAAGCUCUUUUACCCGGGAUGAUAAUGACAGUACCGGGAGAAUAAGCUCCGGCUAACUCCGUG